rnacentral:rRNA from 1 species
CAGUUAAGCUCGUAGUCGGAUUUCGGGGCGGGGCGACCGGUCUGCCGAUGGGUAUGCACUGGUCGGCGCGUCCUUCCUUCCGGAGACCGUGCCUACUCUUAACUGAGCGGGGGCGGGAGACGGAUCGUUUACUUUGAAAAAAUCAGAGUGUUUCAAGCAGGCGUCUCGCCUUUGCAUGGAUUAGCAUGGGAUAAUGAAAUAGGACUUUGGUGCUAUUUUGUUGGUUUCGAACACCGAAGUAAUGAUUAACAGGGACAGUCAGGGGCACUCGUAUUCCGUCGAGAGAGGUGAAAUUCUCAGACCAAUGGAAGACGAACAACUGCGAAAGCAUUUGCCAGGGAUGUUUUCACUGAUCAAGAACGAAAGUUAGGGGAUCGAAGACGAUCAGAUACCGUCGUAGUCUUAACCAUAAACCAUGCCGACUAGGGAUCGGAGGAUGUUAGAUUUGACUCCUUCGGCACCUUACGGGAAACUAAAGUCUUUGGGUUCCGGGGGGAGUAUGGUCGCAAGGCUGAAACUUAAAGGAAUUGACGGAAGGGCACCACCAGGAGUGGAGCCUGCGGCUUAAUUUGACUCAACACGGGGAAACUUACCAGGUCCAGACAUUGUAAGGAUUGACAGAUUGAGAGCUCUUUCUUGAUUCGAUGGGUGGUGGUGCAUGGCCGUUCUUAGUUGGUGGAGUGAUUUGUCUGGUUAAUUCCGUUAACGAACGAGACCUUAGCCUGCUAAAUAGUUACGCGAACUCUCUGUUUGCGGCCAACUUCUUAGAGGGACAACUUGUUUUCAACAAGUGGAAGUUUGAGGCAAUAACAGGUCUGUGAUGCCCUUAGAUGUUCU